rnacentral:rRNA from 1 species
AUUGAACGCUGGCGGCAUGCCUUACACAUGCAAGUCGAACGGUAACAGGUUAAGCUGACGAGUGGCGAACGGGUGAGUAAUACAUCGGAACGUGCCCAGACGUGGGGGAUAGCUCGGCGAAAGCCGGAUUAAUACCGCAUAAGCUCUGAGGAGGAAAGCGGGGGACCGUAAGGCCUCGCGCGUUUGGAGCGGCCGAUGGCAGAUUAGGUAGUUGGUGGGGUAAAGGCUUACCAAGCCUACGAUCUGUAGCUGGUCUGAGCGGACGACCAGCCACACUGGGACUGAGACACGGCCCAGACUCCUACGGGAGGCAGCAGUGGGGGAUUUUGGACAAUGGGCGAAAGCCUGAUCCAGCAAUGCCGCGUGCAGGAUGAAGGCCUUCGGGUUGUAAACUGCUUUUGUACGGAGCGAGAAGGCGCCUACUAAUACUGGGUGUUGAUGACGGUACCGUAAGAAUAAGCACCGGCUAACUACGUGCCAGCAGCCGCAGUAA